UACGUAGGGUGCGAGCGUUGCCCGGAUUUAUUGGGCGUAAAGGGCGCGUAGGCGGCCACGCACGUCCGUUGUGAAAUCGCCCGGCUCAACUGGGCGGGGUCGGCGGAUACGGCGUGGCUGGAGCAAGCUAGGGGGCAAUGGAAUUCUUGGUGUAGCGGUGAAAUGCGUAGAUAUCAAGAGGAACACCUGCGGCGAAGGCGGGUUGCUGGGCCGACACUGACGCUGAAGCGCGAAAGCCAGGGGAGCGAACGGG
rnacentral:rRNA from 1 species